rnacentral:rRNA from 1 species
AGAGUUUGAUCCUGGCUCAGGAUGAACGCUAGCUACAGGCUUAACACAUGCAAGUCGAGGGGCAGCAUGGUCUUAGCUUGCUAAGGCCGAUGGCGACCGGCGCACGGGUGAGUAACACGUAUCCAACCUGCCGUCUACUCUUGGACAGCCUUCUGAAAGGAAGAUUAAUACAAGAUGGCAUCAUGAGUCCACAUGUUCACAUGAUUAAAGGUAUUCCGGUAGACGAUGGGGAUGCGUUCCAUUAGGUAGUAGGCGGGGUAACGGCCCACCUAGUCUUCGAUGGAUAGGGGUUCUGAGAGGAAGGUCCCCCACAUUGGAACUGAGACACGGUCCAAACUCCUACGGGAGGCAGCAGUGAGGAAUAUUGGUCAAUGGGCGAGAGCCUGAACCAGCCAAGUAGCGUGAAGGAUGACUGCCCUAUGGGUUGUAAACUUCUUUUAUAAAGGAAUAAAGUCGGGUAUGCAUACCCGUUUGCAUGUACUUUAUGAAUAAGGAUCGGCUAACUCCGUGCCAGCAGCCGCGGUAAUACGGAGGAUCCGAGCGUUAUCCGGAUUUAUUGGGUUUAAAGGGAGCGUAGAUGGAUGUUUAAGUCAGUUGUGAAAGAUUGCGGCUCAACCGUAAAAUUGCAGUUGAUACUGGAUAUCUUGAGUGCAGUUGAGGCAGGCGGAAUUCGUGGUGUAGCGGUGAGAUGCUUAGAUAUCACGAAGAACUCCGAUUGCGAAGGCAGCCUGCUAAGCUGCAACUGACAUUGAGGCUCGAAAGUGUGGGUAUCAAACAGGAUUAGAUACCCUGGUAGUCCACACGGUAAACGAUGAAUACUCGCUGUUUGCGAUAUACUGCAAGCGGCCAAGCGAAAGCGUUAAGUAUUCCACCUGGGGAGUACGCCGGCAACGGUGAAACUCAAAGGAAUUGACGGGGGCCCGCACAAGCGGAGGAACAUGUGGUUUAAUUCGAUGAUACGCGAGGAACCUUACCCGGGCUCAAACGACAGGGGAAUAAUCCCGAAAAGGAUUAGCCAGCAAUGGCCGCUGUCGAGGUGCUGCAUGGUUGUCGUCAGCUCGUGCCGUGAGGUGUCGGCUUAAGUGCCAUAACGAGCGCAACCCUUACCGGUAGUUACUAACAGGUCAAGCUGAGGACUCUACCGGGACUGCCAGCGCAAGCUGUGAGGAAGGUGGGGAUGACGUCAAAUCAGCACGGCCCUUACGUCCGGGGCGACACACGUGUUACAAUGGCAGGUACAGAGAGUCGCGUCGUAGCAAUACGUAGCCAAUCCCGAAAACCUGUCUCAGUUCGGAUCGGAGUCUGCAACUCGACUCCGUGAAGCUGGAUUCGCUAGUAAUCGCGCAUCAGCCAUGGCGCGGUGAAUACGUUCCCGGGCCUUGUACACACCGCCCGUCA